rnacentral:sRNA from 1 species
GCAGGCGGGAGCGGGGGCGGCGAGCAGGCCGGGGAAGGCGGUAACGCCAGCCUAAUGCACAGAUAGCUGACAUCAACUUCCGUCAGGCGGCUCCGGGAGAUCGAACCUUUCGAUUGUAACUGGGACAAUUUGCAUAGUGAUUCCCUUUCAGAGCUUUCUCGGGUCCAUAACAAGCCCAGGCAGCUAUUCAAAUGCAAGUUGCGUCCCCAAAUGCCCGGCUGGCCUGAGCAAAAGGAGCGGCUCGUCACCAAACGAGCCGAGACCAGCGCUGGGGUUCUGGGUCACCUCCUUUCUCCCGGCUUUUCCCUCGCUCUCGGGUUCCUGAAUUAGCUGUUUGUUUACGGCUACAGACUUGUGUGUGCCAGCGAACCGAGCCAGCGCGCGAGGGAGGGAAUUGAUCUUUCCCCAGACUCAAAGCUGGAGCGGAAGAAGUGCGGGGGAUUUGGGGUUCUGAGUGGGACUCAGCCCCUGGGUGCUGAGGAGAAGCCUGUGGGGCUCUCUAGCCCGCUUCUCUAACCCCAGCGACCUUGCAGGAAUCCUCAGGCCUGAGAGCUGCCCGGCUCUGGGCUUUGCAGAAAGUGGCGGCGGCUGCGUCCCGGUCUUUAAAACGAACGCAAAGAAAGGAGGCAAAGCUGAAACCUUGUCGCGUGUCAGAAGCAACCUGCCGUGAAAUUCGUUAAUGCGCCCCGACUCGCCCUUCGCGAAUUCUAUUGACCAUGGCUUUCGUCGGAGAGAGAAUUUUAACUACUGGCUGCUCUGGGCUCGGAGCUGAGGCUGGGAACAAGUAAAUCCAGCCCUGACCGACAAGAAUUGAUGGGGAUGUGCUGUUGAUUGGAGCCACGUGGACUUGCAUAGAAACCUGCUUUUUACUCUGCCUGUCUCGCUCCAAUUCAGGAGAAAGGUCGGGCCCCUUUGGAACAGAUUUGCUUACUUGGAAGGCUGGAUAUUCAUUUGGCAAGCUCUUUCCAGCUCUAGCCAGGCUGGGGAAGAAAAAUGAGACAACGGAAGGUUGCUCCUCAGGCUUUGGGUCAAAACUAACCCAAGGCAGGAAUACCUGAAGAGAUAUUAAACCAUACCUUUUGAUUCUGCUGUAUGAAGAUCGUGUCCUAAAUUUCAACACCCCCCACCCCAACUCCUUCAAGACUCUACAGCAUUACAGAGCUGCCAGAGAGAGGAAAGCACCCUGAGACCCGAGUCCGGUUGGCAGUGGACACCCAGCCUCCAUGACAGGAGCCACAGCUAUAGCGUCCACUUGUGUAAAGAAGGAGCCUGUGCCCAGAGAAUGUCUGAUCUUUGACCCUGGAACUCACAGCUCCAAGUUGCUGGAGAGAGUUAGUCCCAAAAUGAGGCUGCAGAAGAGGUCCCUGAAGGGCUGUGGAAAAGGCCAAGUGAGUUCCCCAGAAAGACAAUCGCAGACUUGGCAUUCCUGUUGCAGCGUCCAAGCAGAAGACCCAAAGACUUGACCUGCCAAAGGGUGCCUGCCCAUCUCCUUCUGUGGCCUAGUGAGGGACCUAUUCCUCACCUCCUCACUGCCACCACCUGGGAGAAAGUCACCUCACCUCAACUCAACAGAUAACAAGUCAAAGUGGAUCAGACCGCAGAACCUAUCAGAGUUCCAGGGAACAAGCAAUCCACACCCUUCUCCUUCAGCCCUGACACCUAGAGAGUCCAUGGAAGAGAUGGCUGGCAGGGGUUUCAUUCCAGCAAGUACGGGAGCUAAACCCUCUAGGCCAGUUUCCAGAGCAACAACAAGAACAAUAAAAAUAAGCAAUUUCCUCACUUUCUAAAUGUGUCCCAGCAUGUGUCGCCUAGCUCCAGACCUGAAGGUGCAUUUAAAGGUGCUAAGGGACCUGGCUGGGUAGUUUUGAGGUUUUUUUCCUAACAAUACUGCUAAAUGUAUGUGAAACCACAGUCGAGAAGCCACGUUGUUCCAGAACCAGGCAGUAAAAAUGUAGAAGUAGGCGCUGCAUGUCCAACGUGGAGUACGGAGUGCGGGAGACACGGGGAAAUUGCGACGGAUUCUGACACUAUCAUUGAAGAUGUUGGGAGUGUGGAAGAGGAUACAUUGUGGGUUCUUUUGUGGUUUUUAUGUAGAUUUAAAAACAAACAAACCCCCCAAACCCAGCUGUUGAUGUAAUCAUAGCAUCUCAGAUGUAGUAUAUUUCCCCUAAUAUAUUCACAGGGGAGAUAUAUAUAGAUAUAGAUAUAGAUAUAGAUAGAUAUAUAUCCUAAGUUCAUGUGGAAAACAAAUAUUUUGCUGAUUCCAGCAGCACAAGCUCUGAAAGCCAAAACAAGCAAACAAACCACUUGUGGGGACAAGGGGAGGGUGACUUCAAGCAGUCCUUCCCACAGGGGUGGCUGGCUUAGGGCUGUGGAGUCCAGAAAAGGCAAAGUAGAUCAUCACCGGAACUCAAAGUUACCUUGGGAAACAAGACAAGACCUGGGGUCGAAGUCAUGUGGGGGUCAGCCAGUAGUCCUUUGGGGUAUAGCAUAGCUGAGAAGUUCUCAGAUGGACUCAGUUGCUUCAGACUGGAGACUGGGAAGUUUCUUCCCCUGGCAAGCACAGCACCAAUCACUCCCAGAGUCAGGAGUCCUCACCUCUCCCUCAGGAGGCUCCUGACUGAGGUACCGCACUUCCCAACUGCCUUAGGCUGCUCGGGGUGUUGCCAGGCAAAUGAAACAAAAGGAACUCAAUAGUAAAUUAUUUUGUUCAGCCUUCUGUCUUUUUAUGAAAAUAAAAGCCAACACUUUGUCAUUUUUAAUCGCAUAAGCAGACAAUAAAUCUAAUUUCGAUAUUGAUUUUUUUCCAGAA